rnacentral:misc_RNA from 1 species
GAAAUGCGAUAAGUAGUGUGAAUUGCAGAAUUUAGCGAAUCAUCGAAUCUUUGAACGCACAUUGCGCCCCUUGGUAUUCCAUGGGGCAUACCUGUUCGAGCGUCAUUUCAACCCUCAAGCACUGCUUGGUGUUGGGCGUUUGUCCCGCCUACGCGCGUGGACUCGCCUCAAAGUCAUUGGCAGCUGUUCCCCUUCGGCUCGUAAGCGCAGCACAGUCGGCGCCCGGAGCUCUGGUGGGGUGGCGUCCAGCAAGCUAUAUUUUCAGGCUUGACCUCGGAUCAGGUAGGGAUACCCGCUGAACUUAAGC